UACGUAGGGGGCAAGCGUUGUCCGGAUUCACUGGGCGUAAAGGGUGCGUAGGCGGUCGGGUAAGUCUGAUGUGAAAUCUCACAGCUUAACUGUGAAACUGCAUUGGAUACUAUCCGGCUAGAGGAAUGGAGGGGAGACUGGAAUACUUGGUGUAGCAGUGAAAUGCGUAGAUAUCAAGUGGAACACCAGUGGCGAAGGCGAGUCUCUGGACAUUUCCUGACGCUGAGGCACGAAAGCCAGGGGAGCAAACGGG
rnacentral:rRNA from 1 species